rnacentral:rRNA from 1 species
AACGAACGCUGGCGGCAUGCCUAACACAUGCAAGUCGAACGAGACCUUCGGGUCUAGUGGCGCACGGGUGCGUAACGCGUGGGAAUCUACCCUUGGGUUCGGAAUAACAGUUAGAAAUGACUGCUAAUACCGGAUGAUGACGUAAGUCCAAAGAUUUAUCGCCCAAGGAUGAGCCCGCGUAAGAUUAGCUUGUUGGUGGGGUAAUGGCCUACCAAGGCGACGAUCCUUAGCUGGUCUGAGAGGAUGAUCAGCCACACUGGGACUGAGACACGGCCCAGACUCCUACGGGAGGGAGCAGUGGGGAAUAUUGGACAAUGGGCGAAAGCCUGAUCCAGCAAUGCCGCGUGAGUGAUGAAGGCCUUAGGGUUGUAAAGCUCUUUUACCAGGGAUGAUAAUGACAGUACCUGGAGAAUAAGCUCCGGCUAACUCCGUGCCAGCCGCCGCGGUAA